ACAGAAACUUAAUUUGAAAAUGCUGUGCAAAAUUGGAUGCAUAUCAAUUAUCAACCAAAACAAAGGAGCAUGUGUUUCUCACUAAAGCAGCUCAUAGAUUAAUCGUGUGUCAACUAGUCAGACCAAAGAUAAGCACGUUUGCAAGAAGAACCUGAGUCCACAAAGAAAACUCAAAAAUUAACCCUAUAAACUUCUCCAAACUACUUCCCCUAAGCAAAAUCAUCAAUUUUCAUGUGGGAGUAAUCCAAAAGAUUCUCAAAACCACUGUCCAAACCAUUCAAG
rnacentral:misc_RNA from 1 species